rnacentral:rRNA from 1 species
UAAGGAAUAUUGGACAAUGGAGGCAACUCUGAUCCAGCCAUGCCGCGUGAAGGAAUAAGGCCCUAUGGGUUGUAAACUUCUUUUAGACGGGACAAAAACCCUUUACGUGUAAAGGGUUGAUGGUACUGUCAGAAUAAGCAUCGGCUAACUUCGUGCCAGCAGCCGCGGUAAUACGAAGGAUGCAAGCGUUGUCCGGAAUUAUUGGGUUUAAAGGGUGCGUAGGCGGACUAAUAAGUCAGUGGUGAAAGCCUGCAGCUUAACUGCAGAAUUGCCAUUGAUACUGUUAGUCUUGAGUACAGUUGAGGUAGGCGGAAUGUGUCAUGUAGCGGUGAAAUGCUUAGAUAUGACACAGAACACCGAUUGCGAAGGCAGCUUGCUAAGCUGUAACUGACGCUGAGGCACGAAAGCGUGGGGAGCAAACA